CAGGCAGCUGCUGCAACCUCUGCUGGGACACAUCUGGUAAGGCAAACUUGCGUGUUUAAAAUAUGUGUCAUCCAUGUCUUGCAAACCAUGGUAGGGUCAGUGGUCAGUGUGGGCACCUUCCUGAUAGCAGCGCAUUGAUGGGAAUCGAUUGCUACAAGCCAGAUCCAGUGUGUUGAGCAUGGAAGUGGAUGGGAAAUGUCCUUCCCCUUCCUGUCUCCCAAGCAGUGAGUGGAGUGGGGAUGGCUUCUCCAGGUCUCUGCAGGGCUUCAGUGCAAGCACAUCACCAGGCAGUUCAAUGAAGGUGACACAACUGACCACACUCAAAUCAUCAGGAGAACAGUCCAUCCCAUUGGCUCUCAUGCCUGAGUGAUGGGAGGACUCACAUAACCCUGAACUUUCCAGCUAUUUGAAGUUCAGAGCCAGUACUGAUACGAAUAUUGCAGACAGCAACUACGGAGCAUGGCAAGAUGAGAGCUCUGCACCUGGGAGAGUUUUGGCAUGUUUUCAGGCCAGAUCCAAAUACAGAUGGUUGCAAUGAACGUGCUUGUCCGUAUGCAAUGAUCACAAAUAACGUUGUGCUACCAUUGUAACUGUGUGAUAAGAUCAUCUCCUGUCUUUCUUUCUCCUGGUGCAGUGCUCCAGCUCCCCUGUCAAUGGUGAGUUUCUUACCAAGUAAUGUCUGUAAGAAAGAUUCAGUCAUGGUUCUGUAUGCGUGUUCCUGUCACAGUUCCCUUACCUUUGUCUGUCUUUCUUUUUUUGGGAAUCAGAAUCUGCCGUGUGUGCUUCAGUGGAAAGUGUCAGCCAGGAGAUGGUUCUUGAGGUAGCCCGUGGCCAAGCCUCCCCCUGCAGCCUCACUUUUGGUCAAUACGCCUGUGCACAGAGUGCUUGGCUCUGGGACCUUCAGGAUGAUUUCCUCAUAUCCCUGUAUUCUUGCCUUACCCCUAAACCUGCCACUGUGAUGGAUCCGCAAUACUCCAUGCUGUUCUUUUCCAAAUAUGAUGCCAAGAAGCUUGUAGCUGCUCUGACUGCGUUCAGCCAGAGGUUUUCUCACGUGCCUCUUUCUCUUGAGUGGAACAUGAUCUUCAUGAAUGGCCUGUGGGAGAAGAUGUUGCAAGUACCUGAUAUUGACAGCCCACCUCUUUUGUCUCAGUGGGUCCAUGAAGGGCUUCAGCCGUUCCUGGUCGAGCCUGAGGUCUUUGCUUGCCUCCAUGCCAAAAACGUCUUCUGUGAGGCGUUUCAGAAGAUAGUCACUGCCCUGAAUGGCAUAUAUUCUGACCUUCCAGUGGAAGAACAGAGGAAUCUUUACAAGGGGAUCAAAUAUUUUCUCAUCCAGGAUGGUAAAUGACUCAAUUUUCUUUAAGAAACAACAGAAUGCUUUAAGCCACUGUCACAUGCUACAACAUUAGCUGCAAUCUGUCACAGGGAUG
rnacentral:lncRNA from 1 species